AACGAACGCUGGCGGCAGGCCUAACACAUGCAAGUCGAGCGGGACCUUCGGGUCUAGCGGCGGACGGGUUAGUAACGCGUGGGAACGUGCCCAAAGGUACGGAAUAGCCUCGGGAAACUGAGAGUAAUACCGUAUGUGCCCCUCGGGGGAAAGAUUUAUCGCCUUUGGAUCGGCCCGCGUUGGAUUAGGUAGUUGGUGGGGUAAUGGCCUACCAAGCCGACGAUCCAUAGCUGGUUUGAGAGGAUGAUCAGCAACACUGGGACUGAGACACGGCCCAGACUCCUACGGGAGGCAGCAGUGGGGAAUCUUAGACAAUGGGGGAAACCCUGAUCUAGCCAUGCCGCGUGAGCGAUGAAGGCCUUAGGGUUGUAAAGCUCUUUCAGAUGGGAAGAUAAUGACGGUACCAUCAGAAGAAGCCCCGGCUAACUCCGUGCCAGCAGCCGCGGUAAUAGUCAGUCG
rnacentral:rRNA from 1 species